rnacentral:rRNA from 1 species
UACGUAGGGUGCAAGCGUUAAUCGGAAUUACUGGGCGUAAAGCGUGCGCAGGCGGUUAUGUAAGACAGAUGUGAAAUGCCCGGGCUUAACCUGGGAACUGCAUUUGCGACUGCAUGGCUAGAGUGUGUCAGAGGGGGGUAGAAUUCCACGUGUAGCAGUGAAAUGCGUAGAUAUGUGGAGGAACACCGAUGGCGAAGGCAGCCCCCCUGGGAUAACACUGACGCUCAUGCACGAAAGCGUGGGGAGCAAACAGG